ACCCUCUUCUUCCCUUUCCCAUUGGAUCCCAGGACUGGUCUUGCUUGUCCUAAAGAGGAAGGGCAUACUGAAGCUGGCCUCCCAGUGUUGUAGUCUGCUGUGAUUCAAACAGGCCUGGAUUCUCUUAGC
ensembl:snoRNA